rnacentral:piRNA from 1 species
UGGCCUAGUCUUUUUGUUCUGCAGGACAC